UAAAGGUUUGGUCCUAGCCUUACUAUCAACUGUUUCUCAAUUUAUACAUGCAAGUCUCAGCACGCCAGUGAGAACGCCCUCUCAACCUUCACCAGGAUAAGGAGCCGGUAUCAGACACAACCUCGUCCACAACACCUAGUCUCACCACACCCCCAAGGGUCAUCAGCAGUAAUAAAUCUUGAGCAUAAGCGACAGCUUGACUCAGUUAGAGAAAAGAGAGCCGGCUAACCCGGUGCCAGCCGCCGCGGCUACACCGUGGGGCUCAAGUUGAUAUUCAUCGGCGUUAAGCGUGAUUAAAGUCCACUUAAAUUAGGGCCAAAUUAACACCUAGUAGUAUAAAGCUCGUGACUAAGAAGAACAUAAACGAAAGUUGCCCUAACCUACACACUUGAACACACGACAGCUGGGAAACAAACUGGGAUUAGAUACCCCACUAUGCCCAACCGUAAACAAUUAACUCACACCCGCAAACGCCAGGGAACUACGAGCCAUGCUUAAAACCCAAAGGACUUGACGGUGUCCCACCCCCCUAGAGGAGCCUGUUCUAUAAUCGAUAAUCCCCGCUAUACCCAACCCCUUCUUGCUUAUCAGUCUGUAUACCUCCGUCGAAAGCUUACCAUGUGAACGCCUAAAGUAGGCCUAAUGACCCACAUCAAUACGUCAGGUCAAGGUGCAGCUUAAGAAGUGGAAAGUAAUUGGCUACAAUUUCUAACCUAGAACAAACGAAAGAUUAUGUGAAAUCAUAAUCAUGAAGGCGGAUUUAGUAGUAAAAAGAAAAUAGAGUGUUCUUUUUAACCCGGCUCUGGGACGCGUACACACCGCCCGUCACCCUCUUCAAUAGUAUUCUCACUAGUUUUUAACCCUAUCUCACGUCUUAGAAGAGGUAAGUCGUAACAUGGUAAGUGUACUGGAAAGUGCACUUGGUAUAUAC
rnacentral:ncRNA from 1 species